GGCAGUGUAGCAUAGUGGUAAGGUGCAGGGCUUCUAACCAAGGGGUUGUUGGUUCAAUUCCUCGCUGGGG
rnacentral:tRNA from 1 species